rnacentral:rRNA from 1 species
UACGAAGGGGGCUAGCGUUGUUCGGAUUUACUGGGCGUAAAGCGCACGUAGGCGGAUCGUUAAGUCAGGGGUGAAAUCCUGGGGCUCAACCCCAGAACUGCCUUUGAUACUGGCGAUCUCGAGUCCGGAAGAGGUGAGUGGAACUCCUAGUGUAGAGGUGGAAUUCGUAGAUAUUAGGAAGAACACCAGUGGCGAAGGCGGCUCACUGGCCCGGUACUGACGCUGAGGCGCGAAAGCGUGGGGAUCAAACAGG